rnacentral:lncRNA from 1 species
CUCACUGGUGCCGCCUUCUGAAACUGGUCCUGUACCAACAGACAUACAGAUAUCAGACAUACGCAACAUCUAACAUAACAUACAGUGAAUCUUUUACCUACAGUGUACAAUACAGAAAUACACAGCUCUGCUUAGUAUUCAAUGCUGUUUUAUUUCAAUCAUUAUCUUAUCUCUCAUACAUUUUUUAUUUCAGAGGUCAAACGGUCCUCAAGGCAAAAGUCCAUUAGAGUAAAAAUAUUGUGAUACAAACUGCUCAACAUUUAAGAAAAAAAGUGUAACAUUUUCAUUAACAAGGGCCUGAAGGCACUCAUCUGUUGCCUUUCUUUUCAAAAACAUCCUAGCGCUACAUUUUAGCAAUUUACUGCCUUAUAUCAUGGCUUAAAGUAUUUAGUUAUUCAAAAGAAACUUUUUUAGUAUUUUAACAAAUUAGAUUUCAGUGACGUUGAAUGUGGAUCUACAUCAUUUAUGCUUGCAAACUUCGUAGCACUUCCUGCCAGCAAGCUACUCCACAUAUAUUAUGCAUCUAAGUCUUUAAGUUCUUUUGUUUCAUGUUACCUUGAAUGUGGUUCAAGGUCAAUUAUUUUCACAAAUCUGCCCAUUAAAAUGGGAGUUAGGUUUGAAAUACUUAUCAAACAAGCAGCUGUGGUAGCCAUACUGGAUUGACCCACAAAAUAACAAUACAUGUACUGGAGUCUGUUCUUAGUACCACGUACAAAAUGGUUUACACAUAACAGCUGAUACUGGCAGACACAAAUAAAUUACAAUAGGUCACUUUAGUCUUUGGCUCAUGAUCAGGUGACCUAAAUAUGGUAAUACUGAUACAAUUUUGUUAGCCCAAAGUUCUUUAAAACUUAAGUCACACAAAGUCUAGACUAUAUAUAUAACAUAUAUAAGAUUAUAAAGAAAACAUUUGUCCAUUGGCCUAUCUACUGGUCAUAAAGAUAUACAGCAUGCUUUCGAAAUGUAGCUACCAGAACUCUAUAACAGAUUGAAUUGAACAAAAGUUAAUUACUCAUGACACUUUGAAUUGUGCUGUCACAUCUCCAAUACUUUUAUAUACUUUAACAAAAAUCUAUAGAAUCAUUCAAAACUGCAUAUUUAUUAUUAAUGACUACAUCACUACAGUAAUUUAUUUUCUGUUGAAGGUCAUAACACACCAAUAAUAUUAACACUACAGUAAUUUAUUUUCUGUUGAAGGUCAUAGCACACCAAUAAAAUUAACACUAAAGUAAUCAACACCUAAAUCCUGGGCACCUGAACGUUCCCCUUCCUGGCUGGGUUAUCUGUCCCUGCUGCCUUGACUUACCACAUGCUGAUCACUGGAGGUGUGUAGUGACACACAAGGCCAAGGUCACACAAAUACUGUCUCCUAGUGACACCAUCAGUCGUUGCUAUGGCGACAGGGAUCUGUCGUUUACGGAAGCUGUUGGCCAUUAAAUGAGAGGUAACAUACAAAUUGCACCUACUAACUUAGCACACCUGUGUGUGUAUCUGUAGGUAAGGUUAUCACACAUGGUAACAAUUUCUUCAGCAGAAAUAAAAUUUAAGUUAAGCAGAUAAUUGUAAUUUUGGUUUCAGAAAAUACCAGUCAAAUGUCCCUUACCUGUUAUGUCAUUAAUAAUCCAAUGUGUUUAACUCACCAGGAAAACCUUGACUACAGAAAUAGUAGGUGCAAUCUAAGCAUGCUUCCAGUCCACAGACAUGUAUGAUAGAAGCAGAUAUGGAUUGUUUUUCACAUAUCGACAAGAACCUCUAUACAGUUUAAGAUUUGCCAACAUGCCGCUUCAAAAUGGACAAUAGGUAUAAUGGGCCAAUGUUUCAAAAGUACAUUAUAAUGAAUUGUUUGAUUUUAUCUACAUCACUGCUGACCACAUCAAGGACAUUGCCGAUUCUUGAUGAGGCUGGGAUAAAUCUCUCCGAGAAUAAGUCUUUCACUGGUUAGACUCUUUCCACCAGAAGUAGCGUCAACAUAAGAUUUUGAAGUCCUAUAAUCUUUUCUAUAUGUAAUACCCUCAUGAGUAUCAGGUACACGAGGUCAGGACAUAAAUUUUCAAUUUACUGCUGCUUCAAUUAUUUACAAUACUGUAAUAGCACAGGCAGACAACAUAUGUUUCUGAAAAGGGUUUUAGUAACUUUUUUCUCUCUUGUUUUUAUGAAUCCUUGAAGCUGUGUCACUGUAAAAUGUAAACUUGUUAAAAAGGCAGAAAACUGAAACUUUCUGUCUUCACUCAGUAACAGGGAACAUAUCAAUAGGUCACAUAUAUCUACACUCAGUAACAGGGAACAUAUCAAUAGGCUACAUAUAUCUA